rnacentral:rRNA from 1 species
UGACGGUAUCUAACCAGCAAGUCACGGCUAACUACGUGCCAGCAGCCGCGGUAAUACGUAGGUGGCAAGCGUUAUCCGGAUUUAUUGGGCGUAAAGGGAACGCAGGCGGUUUUUUAAGUCUGAUGUGAAAGCCUUCGGCUUAACCGGAGAAUAGCAUUGGAAACUGGAAGACUUGAGUACAGAAGAGGGCAGUGGAACUCCAUGUGUAGCGGUGGAAUGCGUAGAUAUAUGGAAGAACACCAGUGGCGAAGGCGGCUGCCUGGUCUGUAACUGACGCUGAGACUCGAAAGCAUGGGUAGCGAACAGGAUUAGAUACCCUG